AACAUUUCCUUAAGUCAUUUGCUUAGAGCUAUCAUGCUAUCUAUGGAAUAUGAAGCAUUACAGGAUUGGGGAAAGAGGGGGUGGUUGUAUGGCCGGACCUCACAAAGCCGUCAGGCAGCUAAUGACAUAUAGCAUGGUAUAUUGACAUGGUAUAUUGACAUGGUAUAUUGACAUGGUAUAUUGACAUGGUAUAUUGAUAUGGUAUAUUUACAUGGUAUAUCAGAACCAUGACAUGCUGGCAGCUGUUAGAGAUGGGUUGUUUAUUAUAGAGGUGGGGAAUCUAGAAUCGGGGGUGUCACCAACAAAUAUGACAAUCUCUAGGGGAGGGUUAGAAAAAAUAAUACACCUAUUUGUUGAGGGUCAUGAAAAAGUGAACUUUUGCUUUUUGUCUUUUACAGGAAGUUUGAGAAAAAUGGUUUAUGAGGACAAAAACAUGACAAGCAUUACAGAGGGAAACUAUUUUCAGUACCAGUACAUUAAAGUUUUUAAAAAAACUAUGGACACCUCCUUCCCUUGUAUCCUCCACAUCAAAUUCCCUCCUGGUAGUAUAUAGAUUAGACGGAUGUCCUGUCAGAGGUCUGUCUGCUGUGAGAAUUAUUUGUUGUGUGGGAGACGGUAUCCAACUAAUCAGGUCAAGUACUGCUGACAUCAUAACUCAGUUUACAUCACAAAGGAUCAGAGUGGCUAUAUUUAGCAUACCGUCAUUCAGACUAAUGCACAGUCUAUGAUGAUGAGAGAGUCCAUGUUAUUUUCUAUAUUAUCUAACACUGGAAAUCAGGGAUGGAGGUGGGGAGGUACCAGAUUUUUUGUUUAGCAGCAAAAUGUGAAUAUAUAACUAUAAUGUCACAACCUACUGUUUUUAAUUAAUUUAUUUUUUAAAGCAACAGCCCAACAUCAACUGUGACAUAUUUUUUUUUUAAUUAUUUUUUUUUUUAUUGCCAUGAGCCUUGUGGCACAUCUACAAUAUUGUCAAUUAAAAGUAUUCUAAAUAAUCCAUUCUUCAGUGAUAAGAAUGAAGUUUACUAUCCAUCAAAUGAACAUUAUAAUGUAGUUUAUAGCAGGAACAGUGUCUAAAAAUACCAAAUUAGAGAUAAAUGUCCAGUCAAGUAUAUUGUGUUGAAUUUAGUGGAUGAUACGGAUCAUACUGCCCCUGUAGGAUAUGACUGUUUCACCGCGGCUCAAAGUAUUCAUGAAUUAUGCCACUCCACUGCCACAUGUGUAAGGGUGUAGCAGAUAGCAUAAGCUAUGCUCAGUGAUUCACUGCUGUAUUAUUACACAUACCAGAGAUGAUGUUGUGAAGCUGCUUGAUACACAGUCUGGGUUAGGUAAUAUUUAGGCAGGACUAAUGAUGUUUGUGUUUUGGCAAAGGAUCCAAAUAUAGAUCAAUUUGUAGUUCUUUCAUAAAGAUACAUUAAUGUUUAUUUUUGUAUU